AAUAAGUAUAAUUUUACACUAUUUACGUUUAACGUUUGAUCAUUUAUUUUAUUUGAAUUUUUUUAUAAUUAGUAUUUUUAUUGCUAUUAGAUGAUAAAACAUAAAUAGUGAUUUAUGUAUGACUAAAUUUUUUAAAUUUUUUUAUAAUUUUUUCAAAUAAGACGGACAGUCAAACGUUAGACACGGAUAUCUACGACUAUAUUUAUU
rnacentral:pre_miRNA from 1 species